AUAUAGUGUUUUAAUUUUUUCACUCUCUCCUCAACAGUCGCUUCUUCUCCUCCUUUCCUUUUCUUCAUAAAAAUUUCAUUGUUGCUCAGCCAUGGCAGACUGACAUUACCAUGUUGGAACAAGAAGCUCUGCACGUUAAUUAAUUUUCUGCAACACCAACGUUCAAAUUUCAAACGUUCAAUAGCUUUUCACUCAAUUUCGAAAUCCCGCCUAAACCAAGAACCCUAGAAAUCAGCCUAUAAAUACCGGCCUUUGAAGAGAUUUUCGACGAAGGUUUUCAGCCGCUGCUUUCACCAUUCAAAACCAAGCUCGGAGCCGCCCCCCUUUCAUCCCAAAAUUUGAGAUUUUCCGCAAGCUUCAUUCUUUUGACUCCCCUGCUAUUCUGUUAGGUAUUUACCCUCGAAUAAAAUCGAUUAUCUUUAUUUAUUUUAGUCGAAUCUGCUUUUUGUCCGAGAGGAAGGAGCGAGCUUGAAAUCAGAGUUCGACAGUGCAUCUAAGAUCCGCGCCUCAGUUAGCUGCCGUGCAAAAGUCUUAAUGCAAGACUCGCCAACAUAACCCGAGCAUGGAGUCAUAUCUCAUAUUCCUAUAGAUUCCUAUAGAUUCACCGGAUAGCAAGAAAACAAGCAAAAUGCUUGGGGACGCCUAUGGCGUCUUUCUUUUCUUUUCAUUAUCAUUCUUGCUAUUUAACUUCACUUGUGUGAUUUGACUUCAUUUUUAUUUUGAGAUUAUAUGUUAAAAUUCAUAUUAGCAUGAUUGUAUUUAGUUAUCCUUGUUUCUUAUAA